rnacentral:rRNA from 1 species
UUCAAUUUUUGAAGUUUCUCUAGCUUUUUUGUUGGGUGAAAUCAGUAUAAGAAGCUCUUUCUUCUUUAAAAAUUAGUAGGAACUAAAAAACUUUGAUUUAAAACCAGGAUUAGAUACCCUGUUAUUCUCAGUUAUUCUUAAACAGGGUAGUAAAAGUUGUUCUUCAAACCCAAAGAUUUUGGCGGCACUUUAUCCAAAUAGAGGAGCUUGUCCCUUAAUCGAUAGUCCUCGUUUUAUCUUUCCUUCAUUUGUAAAGCUUGUAUACCGCCGUUGUCAGAUUACUUUUAGAGAAUGUUUUCAAGUUAAAAGACUUUAUAACUUCAGGUCAAGGUGCAGUUUAUAUGGGGGCGGAGGUGAGCUACAGUUUUCUUUAGAAAAUACGGAUUUUAAGCUUUGAAGCUAGCUGAAGGUGGAUUUACUAGUAAAGUAA